UCACGAUACUGGCAACCCGGUGAAAACACUGGGACGCAAAGCAAUAGGACCUAAUCUUCCGGCUGGAGGAAUGGCAACCUGGCCGCAGAA
rnacentral:ncRNA from 1 species